rnacentral:rRNA from 1 species
AACGAACGCUGGCGGCAGGCUUAACACAUGCAAGUCGAGCGCCCCGCAAGGGGAGCGGCAGACGGGUGAGUAACGCGUGGGAACGUACCUUUUGGUUCGGAACAACUCCGGGAAACUGGAGCUAAUACCGGAUAAGCCCUAACGGGGAAAGAUUUAUCGCCGAAAGAUCGGCCCGCGUCUGAUUAGCUAGUUGGUGAGGUAACGGCUCACCAAGGCGACGAUCAGUAGCUGGUCUGAGAGGAUGAUCAGCCACACUGGGACUGAGACACGGCCCAGACUCCUACGGGAGGCAGCAGUGGGGAAUAUUGGACAAUGGGCGCAAGCCUGAUCCAGCCAUGCCGCGUGAGUGAUGAAGGCCUUAGGGUUGUAAAGCUCUUUUGUCUGGGAAGAUAAUGACUGUACCGGAAGAAUAAGCCCCGGCUAACUUCGUG